UGUGUCAUUCUGUAAAUAAUGAGAGGCAUUUCUCAAAGUUUGCCAGCCGCCUUUGUCUCUCCUGAUGGCACUUCAGCUGCUUGCCCUGCCCUAGGAAGAUCAUCCCCUCGCUGGAAACCUGGUGCCAUCUCUGCACGGUCUGCUCCAGCCCUGAAGCCUGGCAGCUGGGAAGCAUCCUGCAUGGCAGCGGGGAAAGAAGCGGGAAGGAGCAGAUUUUAUGUGCGGGGAGAAAUGCUGGCAGGACAGGAGUCUGCAUCUCCCCAGCCCUGGGGCUGUGGACUGCUGCAGAUGGGCAAGGAGGGCGUCCUGGUGCUAACCUUGUUUUGUGCAUCUGCAGUACGGGCCAUCGGGUCCCUCCACASUGCUCCUGCCUUAGUGCACCUGCAAAAUGUCAUCAGCCUGCGCUCCGAUUAAGCUGAGAUCUGCCAGAAAUCCCUGGAUCUCCCUGCUGUCCUUAAGUAAGACUGAUCCCUGUGUAGAGCGGGCAUGACUUGGUCUA